rnacentral:rRNA from 1 species
UGUAGCGGUGAAAUGCGUAGAGAUCUGGAGGAAUACCCGGUGGGCGAAGGCGGCCCCCUGGACAAAGACUGACGCUCAGGUGCGAAAGCGUGGGGGAGCAAACAGGAUUUAGAUACCCUGGUAGUCCACGCCGUAAACGAUGUCGAUUUGGAGGUUGUGCCCUUGAGGCGUGGCUUCCGGAGCUAACGCGUUAAAUCGACCGCCUGGGGAGUACGGCCGCAAGGUUAAAACUCAAAUGAAUUGACGGGGGCCCGCACAAGCGGUGGAGCAUGUGGUUUAAUUCGAUGCAACGCGAAGAACCUUACCUGGUCUUGACAUCCACAGAACUUUGCAGAGAUGGUUUGGUGCCUUCGGGAACUGUGAGACAGGUGCUGCAUGGCUGUCGUCAGCUCGUGUUGUGAAAUGUUGGGUUAAGUCCCGCAACGAGCGCAACCCUUAUCCUUUGUUGCCAGCGGUUCGGCCGGGAACUCAAAGGAGACUGCCAGUGAUAAACUGGAGGAAGGUGGGGAUGACGUCAAGUCAUCAUGGCCCUUACGACCAGGGCUACACACGUGCUACAAUGGCAUAUACAAAGAGAAGCGACCUCGCGAGAGCAAGCGGACCUCAUAAAGUAUGUCGUAGUCCGGAUUGGAGUCUGCAACUCGACUCCAUGAAGUCGGAAUCGCUAGUAAUCGUAGAUCAGAAUGCUACGGUGAAUACGUUCCCGGGCCUUGUACACACCGCCCGUCACACCAUGGGAGUGGGUUGCAAAAGAAGUAGGUAGCUUAACC